GGGCUGGUAGAUCAGCUGGUAGAUCGCUUGCUUUGCAAGCAAGAGGUCAUGGGUUCGAGUCCCAUCCAGUCCA
rnacentral:tRNA from 1 species